AGAACUGUAACACUCACUGCGAGGGUCCAUGGCUUCAUUCUUGAAGUCAGUGAGACCAAGAACCCACCAAUUCCGGGCACAUUUUGGUGACCACGAAGGGACUAUCACCUAUUGCCAAGCGGUGAGGCUAUCGCCAAGCAGUGAGACCAUUGCCUGUCACUGUGCGGCGAGACAAUUGCUUAUCGCCAAGCAACCAUGUGACAUUUGGUGCCGUAACUCAGAUCGGGGAACCUCCCUUGGGAGAUCAGUCCCCUGUCAUCCUGCUCUUUGCUCCAUGAGAAAGAUCCACCUAUGACCUCUGGUCCUCAGACCAACCAGCCCAAGGAACAUCUCACCAAUUUUAAAUUGGAGACAGAGGAAACGUGUUCUAUCUGUGAACCCAAAACUCCAGCACUGGUCAUGGACUUGGAAAGACAGUCUUCCCUUGAUGUUUAAUCACUGCAGGGAUGCCUGCCUGAUUAUUCACCCACAUUUCAGAGCUGUCUGAUCACUGCAGGGACGCCUGCCUGGAUCCUUCACCUUAGUG